rnacentral:rRNA from 1 species
UACGGAGAGGGCUAGCGUUGUUCGGAAUUACUGGGCGUAAAGCGCACGUAGGCGGCUUUGUAAGUUAGAGGUGAAAGCCCAGGGCUUAACCCUGGAAUUGCCUUUAAGACUGCAUCGCUAGAAUCGUGGAGAGGUGAGUGGGAUUCCGAGUGUAGAGGUGAAAUUCGUAGAUAUUCGGAAGAACACCAGUGGCGAAGGCGACUCACUGGACACGUAUUGACGCUGAGGUGCGAAAGCGUGGGGAGCAAACAGG